UUGCCCACUGGAUGCUGCCCGUGUGUCUAGUGGCCAUUACUGGGGGGUAGAGAGAACCCUCUCUUAAACCUGGGGCAGGGGCCUUACCUCUGCCUCUGGACAUGUCGGGAGGUACACGU